rnacentral:rRNA from 1 species
AAGGUAGCGAAAUUCCUUGUCGGGUAAGUUCCGACCUGCACGAAUGGCGUAAUGAUGGCCAGGCUGUCUCCACCCGAGACUCAGUGAAAUUGAACUCGCUGUGAAGAUGCAGUGUACCCGCGGCAAGACGGAAAGACCCCGUGAACCUUUACUAUAGCUUGACACUGAACAUUGAGCCUUGAUGUGUAGGAUAGGUGGGAGGCUUUGAAGCGUGGACGCCAGUCUGCGUGGAGCCAACCUUGAAAUACCACCCUUUAAUGUUUGAUGUUCUAACGUUGGCCCCUGACCGGGGUUGCGGACAGUGUCUGGUGGGUAGUUUGACUGGGGCGGUCUCCUCCCAAAGCGUAACGGAGGAGCACGAAGGUUAGCUAAUCCUGGUCGGACAUCAGGAGGUUA